CCUACGGGUGGCAGCAGUCGAGAAUCAUUCACAAUGGGGGAAACCCUGAUGGUGCGACGCCGCGUGGGGGAAGAAGGUUUUCGGAUUGUAAACCACUGUUCUUGGUGAAGAUAAUGACGGUAACCAAGGAGAAAGCUCCGGCUAACUACGUGCCAGCAGCCGCGGUAAUACGUAGGGAGCAAGCGUUGUCCGGAUUUACUGGGUGUAAAGGGUGCGUAGGCGGUCUUGCAAGUCAGACGUGAAAACCACAGGCUCAACCUGUGGACUGCGUUUGAAACUGUGGGGCUUGAGUGAAGUAGAGGUAGGCGGAAUUCCCGGUGUAGCGGUGAAAUGCGUAGAGAUCGGGAAGAACACCAGUGGCGAAGGCGGCCUACUGGGCUUUAACUGACGCUGAGGCACGAAAGCAUGGGUAGCAAACAGGAUUAGAUACCCCAGUAGUC
rnacentral:rRNA from 1 species